UAGUCAUAUGCUUGUCUCAAAGAUUAAGCCAUGCAUGUCUAAGUAUACGCAAAUUAUACUGUGAAACUGCGAAUGGCUCAUUAAAUCAGUUAUAGUUUAUUUGAUGUUUCUUGCUACAUGGAUAACUGUGGUAAUUCUAGAGCUAAUACAUGCGUAAAAAGCCCCGACUUCUGGAAGGGGUGUAUUUAUUAGAUAAAAACCAUCCUCCUCGGAGUUUGGUGAUUCAUAAUAACUUCUCGAAUCGCACGGCCUUGUGCUGGCGAUGCUUCAUUCAAAUAUCUGCCCUAUCAACUGUCGAUGGUAGGAUAGAGGCCUACCAUGGUUGCAACGGGUAACGGGGAAUAAGGGUUCGAUUCCGGAGAGGGGGCCUGAGAAACGGCUACCACAUCCAAGGAAGGCAGCAGGCGCGCAAAUUACCCAAUCCCGACACGGGGAGGUAGUGACAAUAAAUAACAAUACCGGGCGUUCAACGUCUGGUAAUUGGAAUGAGUACUAAUCUAAAUCCCUUAACGAGGAUCCAUU
rnacentral:rRNA from 1 species